rnacentral:tmRNA from 1 species
GGGGGCGAAUGGGCUCGACGUGAUGCAGGGCUGGCCGAGACUGCGAGCCGAGAUCGCCGGUAUCUCGUAAAACACGGCAAAGCUACAACUGCCGAACCUAUGGCAAUGGCUGCUUAACCGCAGCCCUGGCUACCUAGAGUAGCCAUGUCUGCCCCGUCGCGCCGGCCGGAUGGGGGUCAGGCAUCAAAAAGGCCGACUACCGCUGCAGACGAGGCCCCAACGGCUGCAGGGGGAAUCUAACAGGGGACGGUCUGGGACAGGUCUUGUGCACGGGUCCUGCCUGGAUUGUACCAAAUCGUGCGCUAUGCUCGUAGAGGUCACGGAUNNCUCCACCAUUUUGUCUCCGCAU